GAUUUGACCUCAAAUCAGGUAGGAGUACCCGCUGAACUUAAGCAUAUCAAUAAGCGGAGGA
rnacentral:rRNA from 1 species